rfam:Camelus ferus unplaced genomic scaffold scaffold2485, whole genome shotgun sequence.
GAGGGUAUAGCUCAGUGGUAGAGUGCAUGCUUAGCAUACACAAGGUCCUGGGUUCAAUUCCUAGUACCUCUA